rnacentral:rRNA from 1 species
AUUGAACGCUGGCGGCAUGCCUUACACAUGCAAGUCGAACGGCAGCACGGGUGCUUGCACCUGGUGGCGAGUGGCGAACGGGUGAGUAAUACAUCGGAACAUGUCCUGUAGUGGGGAAAAGCCCGGGGAAGGCGGAAUAAAAACGCCAACGGACCACGGGUGAAAACCGGGGGCCCUCGGGCCCCGGCGCAAAGGGGUGGGCGGAUGGCUUAUUAGCUAGUGGGUGGGGUAAGGGCCUACAAAGGCGACGAUCAGUAGCUGGUCUGAGAGGACGACCAGCCACACUGGGACUGAGACACGGCCCAGACUCCUACGGGAGGCAGCAGUGGGGAAUUUUGGACAAUGGGCGAAAGCCUGAUCCAGCAAUGCCGCGUGUGUGAAGAAGGCCUUCGGGUUGUAAAGCACUUUUGUCCGGAAAGAAAUCCUUGGCCCUAAUACGGUCGGGGGAUGACGGUACCGGAAGAAUAAGCACCGGCUAACUACGUG